UAACCGCCGCCACAAGACGGCGCUGAACGCACAGGAGUCAGCCGAAGCCAUAGUAGUGGCAUAGCCGCGAAGGAC
rnacentral:ncRNA from 1 species